UCCAGGGUAGCCUAGUGGAUAUGGCAUCUGCCCGGUAAGCGGAACACUGUGGGUUCGAUUCCCAUCCUUGGAC
rnacentral:tRNA from 1 species